GGCAUGAUAGUAUAGUGGUUAGCACGUUUGCCUUGCACCUCUGGGGUUGUGGGUUCAAAUCCUGCCCCUGCCC